rnacentral:tRNA from 1 species
GCGGCGUUAGCUCAUGCGGUAGAGCUUCUGCCUUCCACGCAGAUGGACCGGGUUCGACUCCCGGGCGCCGCUCCA